UACGUAGGGGGCAAGCGUUGUCCGGAUUUAUUGGGCGUAAAGAGCGUGUAGGCGGCCAGGGAGGUCCGUUGUGAAAACUCGAGGCUCAACCUCGAGACGCCGAUGGAAACCCCCUGGCUAGAGUCCGGAAGAGGAGAAUGGAAUUCCUGGUGUAGCGGUGAAAUGCGCAGAUAUCAGGAAGAACACCCGUGGCUAAGGCGGUUCUCUAGUACGGUACUGAUGCUGAGACGGCGAAAGCCGUGGGGAGCGAAACAGG
rnacentral:rRNA from 1 species